rnacentral:tRNA from 1 species
UUGGGCAUUCGCCAAAUUGGUAAGGCAGUGGACUCUGAAUCCAUAAUUUACAGGUUCGAACCCUGUAUGCCCAAUC